AAUUUGCUCUUUACUUGUUAUAUAAUAAACACCUAUAUCACCAUUGGCGUAUUUUUCACGGAUAUGGUGGUAACGCACAUCUACAUGCUUCGUUAUCUUGUGAAAUUCCGCAUUGUGCACCAAUUUGAUUGCACUCUGAUUGUCCAUAUAAAUCGAUGUUGGUUUUGCAAUGGGUUCUCGUAGGUCGCGUAAUAAUUGACGUAUCCACAUUGCUUCUUUAACUGCACAUGAUGCCGCAAUGUAUUCCGCCUCUGUAGUUGACAGGGAGACUGUUGACUGAUGUUGACUGCUCCAUGUCACUGAUCCAUUGCUGACCUUGAAAACAUAACCAGACGUGAAUCUCCUUGUAUCCACAUCAUUUGCAAAAUCCGAAUCAGAGUUUCCUUCUAUUAUUUCUGACCCUUGAGUCCUUGUGUAUAGUAUUCCAUAGUCUACUGUAUUUUUAAGAUUCUUUUAACGGCAAUCCAGUGAGAGUCGGCGCCGAUCUCGGAAGUAGAAAAUGGUAAGUUACAAAAUCAAUAUACAUUGCACGCGCGCACACACACACACGCGCACACACACAACGUAGUAAUGAAAAAUAUUUAAAAAUAAUAACAUUUUAAUUUAUAUUUUCAGUCUUCGAAGAUCUCCAGGGUUAUUUUGACGACGACAACGAGGAUGAUAAUGACGUAAUUAUCCCGUCCGAUCAACCGGUUUUUCCUGACUUUGGAAAUGUCACCCUUGAAGGGCUGAUGUUUGAGGCUGCCGAGAUGUUCGAGACGAAGUCAGCUGCGUACGCUGAUAUCCUCAAUACAGGGCCAGAACCGUAGGCGCAAUCACAGGAUCCUCUUUACGAGGACAUAAGUGACGAAGAAGUCUUGAGCAUCCUAUUUGACUCGCAAGUGGUGCCCGAUGACAGCAUCGCUUGGCUCGAGGCGGCUGUUGCUAAUGCCGCCGCUGCUGCUGCUGCAGGUCCUUCACAGAUAACGUGUCUCGACGUUCAAGAUAUGGACAUCUCCGACGUCUGCGAUGGCGAGUCCAACACACCCAGCCAUGCCACUCCAGCAUCACCUCCAGCACCAGCACAACUAGAUCCUCAUUACCAAGUAGGCAGAGGAAUAGAUAGAGGUGAUUUAAAAAAAGUAGCGGUCCAGGGUGGUUACGAAGUCUUGCGGCCUGUCCAGGACUACGAGCGUCUUCGACGAAAGAGAGAUGGUUUGCGUGGCGCUCAGUGCAUGAGAGAGAGUGCCUGUGUGAGUGGAUAUCAUCCAUGCGAGGGUGAUCCGGCGCGCGCGUCCUUCACGUCGAUACACGUGCGAGCGUGAAUAUUCUAGCGUCGCGGCGAGUCGCAACGUUGUCGGCAACUCGCGUAUUAUCAUUUUAUUAUUGUAACUUCACAUUUAUUUCGCGACUGACAAAUAUAACCUUAGUUUUUUUAUUUUA